rnacentral:rRNA from 1 species
AGCAGCCGCGGUAAUUCCAGCUCCAAUAGCGUAUAUUAAAGUUGUUGCAGUUAAAAAGCUCGUAGUUGAAUUUCGGAAUCUGUCUAUCGGUCGGGCUUCACUGUCCGUACUGGUGUGGUGGGUUCUUACCUUCUGAAUAACCAGCAUGCCAUUCACUUGGUGCGCUGGGGAAGCAGGACUAUUACCUUGAAAAAAUUAGAGUGCUCAAAGCAGGCUAGUGCCUGAAUACAUUAGCAUGGAAUAAUAAAAUAGGACGGCAUGGUUCUAUUUUGUUGGUUUCUAGGAUCACCGUAAUGAUUAAUAGGGAUAGUUGGGGGCAUUAGUAUUCAAUUGUCAGAGGUGAAAUUCUUGGAUUUAUUGAAGACUAACUUCUGCGAAAGCAUUUGCCAAGGAUGUUUUCAUUAAUCAAGAACGAAAGUUAGGGGAUCGAAGACGAUCAGAU